AUGGCUACGACAGAUACAUGUUUGCUGUGUGGGGCCCGCGAUACAUGGCGGCAUGCUCUACUCUCUUGUCCGAUGGCAGGGAGCGUGUGGGCGCUCGCACCUGAUAAUAUAGUGGAAACUAUGAGUGGCCACUUGGAGGAAAGUGCAAAGGAUUGGUUGUUUGCCUUACAUGAAAUAUUAGCCAAUGAUGAUUUUGUUCGGCUGGUGGUGACACUAUGGGCGAUCUGGGGAGCAAGGAGAAAGGCCAUUCAUGAAGAUAUAUUUCAGUCACCACAUACUUUACAAGGUUUUAUCAACUCUUAUUUAUCAGAGUUACAGGUGAUCAAAGAAAGAGCUCCAGCCGCACGAACUAGCAGUGCCAUAUCGCAGCACAUGGCCCGCUGGAUUCCACCAGAGGCCGGAUGUGCAAAGCUGAACGUUGAUGCGGCGGUGUCACGCCGUGGUUUUGGGGCGAUUGGAGUUAUCUGCAGGGACCAACAAGGUGGCUAUAUGAGCGCUUCUGCCAUUGUCUUCAGAUAUAUUGCGGACCCAACAACGCUUGAAGCUUUGGCAAUUAGAGAAGCUAUGGGUCUAGCCGAUGAUCUCUAUGCCCAAAGAAUUCAUGUGGCAUCGGACUGCAAGGUGGUGAUUGAUGAUAUUCAGAAGAAAAACUUGUCGAGUUAUGGGGCUAUAGUUCAAGAGAUUAUAAGCCAUUCUCUUUCCUUUACUUUUUGUAAUAUAGUUCAUGAACGAAGGAGCUCAAAUUUUGAAGCUCACAAUUUAGCGAAGCAUGCACUUACCCUGGGAGCUGGCCGCCAUGUUUGGCUGGGGCAUCCAGGGAAUCUUCCGUCCGUCCCUGUAAACAUUGUGACGAAUUAA
rnacentral:rRNA from 1 species